UGACGGACCCGCACAAGCGGUGGAUCAUGUUGUUUAAUUCGAUGAUACGCGAAGAACCUUACCAGGUCUUGACACUCCCCCGCGAUGCUUUAGAGAUAAAGCGGAGGUAUUCGGGGAGACAGGUGGUGCAUGGUUGUCGUCAGCUCGUGUCGUGAGAUGUUGGGUUAAGUCCCGCAACGAGCGCAACCCCUAUUGCUAGUUACCAUCAUUAAGUUGGGGACUCUAGCGAGACUGCCAGUGAUAAACUGGAGGAAGGUGGGGAUGACGUCAAAUCAUCAUGCCCCUUAUGACCUGGGCUACAAACGUGAUACAAUGGCUGGAACAAAGGGAUGCGAAGCAGUGAUGUGGAGCGAAACCCAUAAAAACAGUCUCAGUUCGGAUUGAAGUCUGCAACUCGACUUCAUGAAGUCGGAAUCGCUAGUAAUCGCGAAUCAGAAUGUCGCGGUGAAUGCGUUCCCGGGUCUU
rnacentral:rRNA from 1 species